rnacentral:rRNA from 1 species
CAGAACGAACGCUGGCGGCGUGCUAGCACAUGCAAGUCGAACGCGAAAGGGACUUCGGUCCCGAGUAAAGUGGCGCACGGGUGAGUAACGCGUAGAUAACCUGUCUUCGUGUCUGGAAUAAUACACCGAAAGGGGUACUAAUACCGGAUAAUCUUGCUUUUCAUAAGUUUUGCAAGCAAAGGUGGCCUCUGACUUAAGCUACUGCAUGAAGAGGGGUCUGCGUACCAUUAGCUAGUAGGUGGGGUAAAGGCCUACCUAGGCAACGAUGGUUAGCGGGUCUGAGAGGAUGAUCCGCCACACUGGCACUGGAACACGGGCCAGACUCCUACGGGAGGCAGCAGUGAGGAAUAUUGCGCAAUGGGGGCAACCCUGACGCAGCGACGCCGCGUGAGUGAGGAAGGCCUUCGGGUCGUAAAGCUCUGUCAAAGGGAAAGAAGUGUAUAAUGGCUAAUACCUGUUAUAUUUGACGGUACCCUUAAAGGAAGCACCGGCUAACUCCGUGCCAGCCGCCGC